GAUGGGGUUUCACUAUGUUGGGCAGGCUGGUCUCAAACUCCUGACCUCAGGUGAUCUACCUGCCUUGGCCUCCUAAAGUGCUGGGAUUACGGGGUGCAGAUGCUUUUUAACUUGAUGUGAUCCCAUUUGUACAUUUUUGCUUCAGUUGCCUGUGCUUUUGGGGCAUUACUCAAGAUAUCUUUGUUGUAGGUGUCUAUGAGGUUCAUUUGGUCUAUAGUGCAAAUUAAGUCCAAUGUUUCUUUGUUGAUUUUCUGUCUGAAAGACCUGUUGAAUGCUGACAGUGGGAUGUUCAAGUCUAUAUAUAUUUACAAUUGUUAUAUCCUCUUUCUGAACUAACCUUUUUAUCACUAUAUAAUGACCUUCUUUGUCUUGAAAUCUAUUUUAUCUGACAGAAGUAAAGCUACUUCUGUUCUUUUUUGGUUUCCAUUUGCAU
rnacentral:lncRNA from 1 species